rnacentral:rRNA from 1 species
GAUGAACGCUGGCGGCGUGCCUAAUACAUGCAAGUCGGGCGAAUGGAUUAAGAGCUUGCUCUUAUGAAGUUAGCGGCGGACAGGUGAGUAACACGUGGGUAACCUGCCCAUAAGACUGGGAUAACUCCGGGAAACCGGGGCUAAUACCGGAUAACAUUUUGAACCACAUGGUUCGAAAUUGAAAGGCGGCUUCGGCUGUCACUUAUGGAUGGACCCGCGUCGCAUUAGCUAGUUGGUGAGGUAACGGCUCACCAAGGCAACGAUGCGUAGCCGACCGGAGAGGGGGAUCGGCCACACUGGGACUGAGACACGGCCCAGACUCCUACGGGAGGCAGCAGUAGGGAAUCUUCCGCAAUGGACGAAAGUCUGACGGAGCAACGCCGCGUGAGUGAUGAAGGCUUUCGGGUCGUAAAACUCUGUUGUUAGGGAAGAACAAGUGCUAGUUGAAUAAGCUGGCACCUUGACGGUACCUAACCAGAAAGCCACGGCUAACUACGUGCCAGCCGCCGCAGUAA